rnacentral:rRNA from 1 species
GACUGUACAAAGGUAGCAUAAUCAUUUGUCUUUUAAUUGAGGUCUGGAAUGAAUGGUUGGAUGAGGGGUGUUCUUUCUUUAUUUUAAGUGAAUGAAUUUAAUUUCUAUGUCAAAAAGCAUAGAUAAUUUUAUAGGACGAGAAGACCCUAUAGAACUUUAUUAUUGAAAUAUAUGUUUAUUUUAGUACUUUAUGGUUUGAAUAUAUGUUUAGGAUAAUUUUAUUGGGGUGAUUGAAAAAAUUUUAUAACUUUUUUUUAUUAUGGCAUUUAUUUAUGUUUUUUUGAUCUUUUAUUAAGGAUAAGAAGGUUAAGUUACCUUAGGGAUAACAGCGUUAUUUUAUCAUAGAGUUCAUAUCGAUGAUAUAGUUUGCGACCUCGAUGUUGGAUUAAAAUAAGUGGCAGGAGUAGAUUAUUGCUUACUGGGUCUGUUCGACCUAUAAAUUUUUACA